rnacentral:rRNA from 1 species
ACUCAGGUGUUGUUGGGUAGGGGAGCGUUCUGUAAGCCUGCGAAGGUGGCCUGUGAGGGUUGCUGGAGGUAUCAGAAGUGCGAAUGCUGACAUAAGUAACGAUAAAGCGGGUGAAAAGCCCGCUCGCCGGAAGACCAAGGGUUCCUGUCCAACGUUAAUCGGGGCAGGGUGAGUCGACCCCUAAGGCGAGGCCGAAAGGCGUAGUCGAUGGGAAACGGGUUAAUAUUCCCGUACUUGGUGUUACUGCGAAGGGGGGACGGAGAAGGCUAUGUUGGCCGGGCGACGGUUGUCCCGGUUUAAGCGUGUAGGUGUGUGUUCCAGGUAAAUCCGGUUCACUUUAACACUGAGGCGUGACGACGAGGCACUACGGUGCUGAAGCAACAAAUGCCCUGCUUCCAGGAAAAGCCUCUAAGCAUCAGGUAACAUCAAAUCGUACCCCAAACCGACACAGGUGGUCAGGUAGAGAAUACCAAGGCGCUUGAGAGAACUCGGGUGAAGGAACUAGGCAAAAUGGUGCCGUAACUUCGGGAGAAGGCACGCUGACACGUAGGUGAAGUGAUUUACUCAUGGAGCUGAAGUCAGUCGAAGAUACCAGCUGGCUGCAACUGUUUAUUAAAAACACAGCACUGUGCAAACACGAAAGUGGACGUAUACGGUGUGACGCCUGCCCGGUGCCGGAAGGUUAAUUGAUGGGGUCAGCGCAAGCGAAGCUCCUGAUCGAAGCCCCGGUAAACGGCGGCCGUAACUAUAACGGUCCUAAGGUAGCGAAAUUCCUUGUCGGGUAAGUUCCGACCUGCACGAAUGGCGUAAUGAUGGCCAGGCUGUCUCCACCCGAGACUCAGUGAAAUUGAACUCGCUGUGAAGAUGCAGUGUACCCGCGGCAAGACGGAAAGACCCCGUGAACCUUUACUAUAGCUUGACACUGAACAUUGAGCCUUGAUGUGUAG